rnacentral:rRNA from 1 species
UACGUAGGAGGCGAGCGUUGUCCGGAGUUACUGGGCGUAAAGGGUGCGCAGGCGGUGGCCCGCGUGGGCGGUGAAAGCUCCUGGCUCAACUGGGAGAGGGCCGUCCAGACGGGGUCACUUGAGGGGCGGAGAGGGGCGUGGAAUUCCGGGUGGAGCGGUGAAAUGCGUAGAGAUCCGGAGGAACACCGGUGGCGAAGGCGGCUACCUGGACAGAAACUGACGCUGAGGCGCGAAAGCUAGGGGAGCAAACAGG